AUUGAACGCUGGCGGCAUGCUUUACACAUGCAAGUCGAACGGUAACAGGCCGGUAGGUGCUGUCGCGUGGCGAACGGGUGAGUAAUGCAUCGGAACAUGCCCAGUCGUGGGGGGUAUCUCCUCUCGAGAGUAGCUAAUACCGCAUACGAUCUAUGGAGGAAAACGGGGGGCCGCAAGGCCCCGCGCGCUUGGAGCGGCCGAUGUCAGAUUAGCUAGUUGGUGGGGUAAAGGCUCACCAAGCCAACGAUCUGUAGCUGGUCUGAGAGGAUGACCAGCCACACUGGGACUGAGACACGGCCCAGACUCCUACGGGAGGCAGCAGUGGGGAAUUUUGGACAAUGGGGGCAAGCCUGAUCCAGCCAUGCCGCGUGCGUGAAGAAGGCCUUCGGGUUGUAAAGUGCUUUCGGCAGGAACGAAACGGUGAGCUCUAACAUAGCGUGCUAAUGACGGUACCGUAAGAAGAAGCACCGGCUAACUACGUG
rnacentral:rRNA from 1 species